rnacentral:rRNA from 1 species
CCUACGGGAGGCUGCAGUGGGGAAUAUUGCACAAUGGGGGGAACCCUGAUGCAGCGACGCCGCGUGAGUGAAGAAGUAUUUCGGUAUGUAAAGCUCUAUCAGCAGGGAAGAAGAUGACGGUACCUGACUAAGAAGCCCCGGCUAACUACGGGACAGCAGCCGCGGUAAUACGAAGGGGGCAAGCGUUAUCCGGUUUUACUGGGUGGAAGGGGAGCGUAGACGGCAGGGAAAGGUGGGGGGAAAAGCCCGGGGCCCACCCCCGGGUCUGCUUUGAAACUGCCAUGCUAGGGUGCUGGAGAGGUAAGCGGAAUUCCUAGUGUAGCGGUGAAAUGCGUAGAUAUUAGGAGGAACACCAGUGGCGAAGGCGGCUUACUGGACAGUAACUGACGUUGAGGCUCGAAAGCGUGGGGAGCAAACAAGAUUAGAUACCCCAGUAGUC